UUCGCUGGCACUAUGUAAGAGAAAGACCAGGACCCAUUCUACGUUCUGGCACAGUUGGACUGUUAUGUUAUGCCAUGUAAGAGAAAGACCAGGACCCAUUCUACAUUCUGGCACAGUUGGACUGUUAUGUUAUGCCAUGUAAGAGAAAGACCAGGACCCAUUCUACGUUCUGGCCCAGUUGGACUAUGUAGAGGACUAUUGGUGACAAAUUCAUCCUUGAUGUGAUUAGCUGUGAUGUGAUGCAUUCCAUGUUAUCAUAUGUUUUAAAUGUUUUUAUUUAUUCUGCUCACUGGGCUCUAGUAGCUCACCCCUCUCCCUAAUCCCCCAGGUUUGC
rnacentral:lncRNA from 1 species